rnacentral:rRNA from 1 species
CCUACGGGAGGCAGCAGUGGGGAAUCUUCCGCAAUGGAGGCAAAGUCUGUGCGGAUACAACGCCGCGUGAGCGAUGACGGCCUUCGGGUUGUAAAGUUCUGUUAUACGGGACGAAUGGGACGACGGUCAAUACCCGUCGUAAGUGACGGUACCGCAGGAGAAAGCCACGUAUAAUCUACGGGCCGCAGCCGCGGUAAU